AGCUUAUAUAGAGUGUAGAAUUGAAGAUUCUAAGGAAAUUAUUAAUUUGUAAAUAU
rnacentral:tRNA from 1 species